rnacentral:rRNA from 1 species
AGCGAACGCUGACGACAGGCCUAACACAUGCAAGUCGAGCGGUCGUAGCAAUACGGCAGCGGCAGACGGGAGAGUAACACGUGGGAACGUGCCCUUCAGUUCGGAACAACCCAGGGAAACUUGGGCUAAUACCGGAUACGCCCUUACGGGGAAAGAUUUAUCGCUGAAGGAGCGGCCCGCGUCUGAUUAGCUUGUUGGUGAGGUAAUGGCUCACCAAGGCGACGAUCAGUAGCUGGUCUGAGAGGAUGAUCAGCCUCACUGGGACUGAGACACGGCCGAGAAUCCUACGGGAGGCAGCAGUGGGGAAUAUUGGACAAUGGGCGCAAGCCUGAUCCAGCCAGGCCGCGUGGGUGAUGAAGGCCCUAGGGUUGUAAAGCCCUUUCGGCGGGGAAGAUAAUGACGGUACCCGCAGAAGAAGCCCCGGCUAACUUCGUGCCAGCCGCCGCGGUAAGAC